rnacentral:rRNA from 1 species
GAUGAACGCUGGCGGCGUGCUUAACACAUGCAAGUCGAACGAAGAGGCCCAGCUUUUGGGGCGUUUUCGUGGGGCACGGGCGAGUGAAACACGCGUGACUAGCCCCCCUAUCUGGGUUAAAUCUGGCAAACAGGGCGGAUCAUAGGCCAGAUGAGCUCUCCGUCCGCUGGGUGCUGGAGAGAUUUAUCGGUUUUGGAUGGCCUCGCGGUGAAUCAGCUCGUUUGUGAGGUAUUGGUUCACGAAGGGGUCGACGGGUAGCCGGCCUGUGAGGGUGACCGGCGACACUGGGACUGAGACACGGCGCAGAAUCCUACGGGAGGCAGCAGUGGGGAAUAUUGCACAAUGGGCGCAAGCCUGAUGCAGCGACGCCGCGUGCGGGAUGACGGCCUUCGGGUUGUAAACCGCUUUCGAAGGAGAAGAAGCGGUAGUGACGGUAACUGCUAAAGAAGCACCGGCUAACUACGUG